AUCUCUCCUUGACAAAUUUUAAAAGAUCAUAAUAAAAUGAUGCUAAAUAUGAACUCUUUUCUCUCUUCCAGAACAUCUCUAUGCAGACAGCAUCAGCAGGGCUGUUCCUUCAGUUCAAAGGUGAAGAUCGUUGAAGGCAAUGAUCUUCAAUAUAACUGAAGAGACUGAUGUAUGACCUUUGCUUUCCAACCAAGUGCAUUUAUAAUCUGCCCUGAGUCCGCAUCCAUAUUCAGAAGAGUCCAUCUGUGGCAGUCCUUGGCCCUGUCCCUGAGCAUCUCUGCCAAGAAACCCCCAAAUGGAAUCACCUAAGGUUCAGACACAACUGAACAACAACAACAAACAGUGGGAAAGUUCUACAAAAAUGGGAAAUGGUACUAAAAAGUUCACUUUUUUCAUGGCUUUCAAGGAGUAUUUUUUGCAGCACUGGCAUUAAAAUGGAAUAAAGUCCAUCUUGGUCAAAUGAGAGCCUAUUAU
rnacentral:lncRNA from 1 species